rnacentral:misc_RNA from 1 species
AAUCAGUUGGUUCAUUAGAUUUUUCUUUCCCAGCCACAAGCAUCAGCAUCUCAAGGCGCUUGUCAAAAAGUAAUGCACUCUCAUCUCUCUUAUCAAGCUCAGCAGCUUCAGCUUCAAGCCAUUUCUCUCGCAAAUCAUCCAGAAGAUUUCCUUGGUCUGUAUUUAGAAUUGCUCCUGGAGCAUUUGGGACUGUGGUGCGAAGUGAAGAAUCUCCAGAUGGUGGAGGCAGUGUCAGAAGCAUUGCUCGGAACUCUCGAUUAUCAGCAAAUGUCUCAAAGUUACAAGAGACAGUACUCUCGGAUUUUCAAGACGCCAUACAUAUCUGACAAUAUAAGCCAAUGGCACAGUUCUGCAUGUGAAACCGUUUCUAGAUGUGGCAAAAGUACAUCAGCUACAGCACGCUUAAGAGAAAACAAAAGAUAUCUCGAAGCAGCAUCAAACAUUUCCUCUGCCUGAUCUGGGUCA